rnacentral:tmRNA from 1 species
GGGCUAGUAAAGGUUUCGACAGGGAUUCUGAAGCUGGUGAAGCGAGUCGUAUGGGAUGCGUUAAAUUCCAAAAUUAAAUUUUAAACGCUGAAAAUAAUUUAGCAAUCGCUGCCUAAGGGCAACGGAUCCGCCCGUGUGGACCUGCACAUUCGGAUACGGGUCUCAAAAAUCGCAGGAAACGACAUUUUCAAAGCUUUGAGAUAAUGUACGUAUUAUGAAGCUACUGAAGUAUGAAGAGUGUUCUUUCUCGUCAUAUGGAUGGAAUCUUAAAUAAAGAACUACACUCGUAGAAGAACAGGGGAUGGGUUUUUGGACACGGGUUCAAUUCCCGUCUAGUCCACUA